rnacentral:rRNA from 1 species
UACAGAGGUCUCAAGCGUUGUUCGGAUUCAUUGGGCGUAAAGGGCGCGUAGGCGGCGGGGUCAGUCGGGUGUGAAAUCUUGGGGCUUAACCCCGAAACGGCACUCGAAACUGCCCGGCUGGAGGGCCGGAGAGGAGAUCGGAAUUCACGGUGUAGCAGUGAAAUGCGUAGAGAUCGUGAGGAAGACCCGUGGCGAAGGCGGAUCUCUGGACGGCUAACUGACGCUGAGGCGCGAAGGCCAGGGGAUCAAACAGG